AGGGACCUACGUUAGUUGAGACUAUCUGUUUUCAAAACAGGGUGGGGCAUUUGGUGUCGGUUUCUG
rnacentral:tRNA from 1 species